CAGUUGGAAACGACUGCUAAUACCGGAUGAGCCGAAUAGGUAAAAGAUUUAUCGCCUAGAGAGGGGCUCGCGUCUGAUUAGCUAGAUGGUGAGGUAAAGGCUUACCAUGGCGACGAUCAGUAGCUGGUCUGAGAGGAUGAGCAGCCACACUGGGACUGAGACACGGCCCAGACUCCUACGGGAGGCAGCAGUAGGGAAUCUUAGACAAUGGGCGCAAGCCUGAUCUAGCCAUGCCGCGUGUGUGACGAAGGCCUUAGGGUCGUAAAGCACUUUCGCCAGGGAUGAUAAUGACAGUACCUGGUAAAGAAACCCCGGCUAACUCCGUGCCAGCAGCCGCGGUAAUACGGAGGGGGUUAGCGUUGUUCGGAAUUACUGGGCGUAAAGCGCGCGUAGGCGGGCUGUUAAGUUAGGGGUGAAAUCCCGGGGCUCAACCCCGGAACUGCCUUUAAUACUGGCAGCCUAGAGUUCGAGAGAGGUGAGUGGAAUUCCGAGUGUAGAGGUGAAAUUCGUAGAUAUUCGGAGGAACACCAGUGGCGAAGGCAGCUCA
rnacentral:rRNA from 1 species